rnacentral:pre_miRNA from 1 species
ACAUAUACCCAUGCGUGUGUGUGUGCAUGUGCAUGUGCACGUGUAUGUGCAUCGCAUGCAUAUACCUUGGAGACUU